AAAUCUCCGUAGGGUGACCUGCGGAGGGAUCAUUACACAAAUAUGAAGGCGGGCUGGAACCUCUCGGGGUUACAGCCUUGCUGAAUUAUUCACCCUUGUCUUUUGCGUACUUCUUGUUUCCUUGGUGGGUUCGCCCACCACUAGGACAAACAUAAACCUUUUGUAAUUGCAAUCAGCGUCAGUAACAAAUUAAUAAUUACAACUUUCAACAACGGAUCUCUUGGUUCUGGCAUCGAUGAAGAACGCAGCGAAAUGCGAUAAGUAGUGUGAAUUGCAGAAUUCAGUGAAUCAUCGAAUCUUUGAACGCACAUUGCGCCCUUUGGUAUUCCAAAGGGCAUGCCUGUUCGAGCGUCAUUUGUACCCUCAAGCUUUGCUUGGUGUUGGGCGUCUUGUCUCUAGCUUUGCUGGAGACUCGCCUUAAAGUAAUUGGCAGCCGGCCUACUGGUUUCGGAGCGCAGCACAAGUCGCACUCUCUAUCAGCAAAGGUCUAGCAUCCAUUAAGCCUUUUUUUCAACUUUUGACCUCGGAUCAGGUAGGGAUACCCGCUGAACUUAAGCAUAUCAAUAAG
rnacentral:rRNA from 1 species